AACUAGGGAAAGUUAAACUUCAAAUAUUUUGAAACAGAAAAAGUACCUUUUAAAUGGUCCAUUUAGUAGUCCACUGCCUAUGGUUUCAUCACGUUCCCAAUUCUUUCUCCGCGGUGAAAGUGACUUGGUUAUCCCGCAAAAAAGAAGAAGAAGAAAGUGACUUGGUUGGUCUAGUUUAUACAUAAACUAGCAAGAUAAUCCAUACAUCCCCGCAAAAAAGGAUAAUACAUACAAAUGACUUUUUUUACAAAAUUGUUGGAGUUAAAAGUUCAACACAAAAUAACACAAAUUGGCCGUAUAUUGGUUUUAUAUAUAACCAUUUUUCACAAUAGCGCUUCUACUACACAAUGUUGGAUCAUUAUUUUUCG
rnacentral:lncRNA from 1 species